UUUUGCAAUCCUCGAUCGGGUGCCGCAGACAAAAGGAGCACAGAAACCAGAGCUGGAAGAGAAGAAUAGAGUCCUUUCUUCAUCCAAGCCGACCGGCUGUUGAGCACCUUGGAGAAGCUCUCAACACCCAGGGCAGAUGGGAUAUCUUGGUGGCAGAGGAGGGCUUUCCCUUCAGCGUGCGCACCUGCUGCACAUUUCAAUCAGCCAUGUAUUGAAGGACUGUGAAGCUGCAAAGCCUUGUGAAGCUGUCGUGCUUCAAGUGUUGUUUUCUGGACCUCUCGAUACUAUUCCUAGUCACUCUCGUUUUGUUCAGAGAGCCUUGAUUAGCGUCGCUUGUGGUGUGCGCGCCCGUCGUCACGUGCCGAGGAAAGACUCUUGAUGAGCGCGACUGCCAACACGCUCCCAAGUGGAAGCCGCAUGCAGCCGAAGCUUAAAUC